rnacentral:rRNA from 1 species
CAGCCGCCGCGGUAAUACGAAGGGGGCUAGCGUUGCUCGGAAUCACUGGGCGUAAAGGGUGCGUAGGCGGGUCUUUAAGUCAGGGGUGAGAUCCUGGAGCUCAACUCCAGAACUGCCUUUGAUACUGAAGAUCUUGAGUUCGGGAGAGGUGAGUGGAACUGCGAGUGUAGAGGUGAAAUUCGUAGAUAUUCGCAAGAACACCAGUGGCGAAGGCGGCUCACUGGCCCGAUACUGACGCUGAGGCACGAAAGCGUGGGGAGCAAACAGGAUUAGAUACCCCGGUAGUCCCUGUCUCUUAUAC